UACGUAGGGUGCGAGCGUUGUCCGGAAUUAUUGGGCGUAAAGGGCUCGUAGGCGGUUUGUCGCGUCGGGAGUGAAAACUCAGGGCUUAACCCUGAGCCUGCUUCCGAUACGGGCAGACUAGAGGUAUGCAGGGGAGAACGGAAUUCCUGGUGUAGCGGUGAAAUGCGCAGAUAUCAGGAGGAACACCGGUGGCGAAGGCGGUUCUCUGGGCAUUACCUGACGCUGUAGAGCGAAAGCGUGGGGAGCGAACAGG
rnacentral:rRNA from 1 species